UGGGGAAUCUUGCACAAUGGGGGAAACCCUGAUGCAGCGACGCCGCGUGAACGAUGAAGCCCUUCGGGGUGUAAAGUUCUUUCGACAGGAACGAUAAUGACGGUACCUGGAGAAGAAGCUGCGGCUAACUACGUGCUAGCAGCCGCGGUAAUACGUAGGCAGCGAGCGUUGUUCGGAGUUACUGGGCGUAAAGAGUGCGUAGGCGGCGAGCCAAGUUUGGUGUGAAAUCUCCCGGCUUAACCGGGAGGGUGCGCCGAAGACUGGGAAGCUGGAGUGUGGGAAAGGCAGGCGGAAUUCCUGGUGUAGCGGUGAAAUGCGUAGAUAUCAGGAGGAACACCGGCGGUGUAGACGGCUUGCUAGACCAUAACUGACGCUGAGGCACGAAAGCGUGGGUAGCAAACA
rnacentral:rRNA from 1 species